rnacentral:rRNA from 1 species
UGAGCAACCCGCCCUUGACUCUGGAAUAACAGCUGGAAACAGCUGCUAAUACCGGAUACGACCUCCGAUGGCAUCAUCUGGAGGUGGAAAGCUCCGACGGUCAAGGAUGGGCUCGCGGCCUAUCAGCUUUGUUGGUGAGGUAACGGCUCACCAAGGCUUCGGACGGGUAGCCGGCCUGAGGAGGGCGACCGGCCACACGUGGGACUGAGACUACCGGCCCAAACUCCGUACGGGAGCAG